rnacentral:lncRNA from 1 species
CUCUUCCCCACAAGUCAUUCCACAUCAACUCUCCCAUGAAGCCUUGGAAAUCAUAUUGUUGUGGAAAAGAUAUUCCACUAACCUAUCUAUGAUCUAACAAGUUCUAUAAAUAUGAUCCCAUGAUUCUCUCUAAGCCUUCCUUUCUCCUGCUUAAACAUUCCUAGCUCUUUCUUGUAUGGCCUUGUCUCCAAACCAGUCUCCAUCAUGUCUACCCUUCUCUGGAUGUACUCAACUGAAUGAUGAGAAGGAGCCAAACUAUCCUCUGACCACAGGCCUUUACGACUCCUGCCGCACAUGUUCCCUGGGGAAGAUGGCAAGCAGCCAGGCUGGGCUGACUUCCAUCUGUACCAGCACAAGGCAACUCCCACCUCCUGCUGUCAGCCUGAUCUCCUAAUCAGAAUGUGGAGAAGCACUCCUGCAAAAAGAAGCAAGCCUCCCUUUGACCUCAGGCCUUCCAUCUCCUUCUGCCCUUGAGUCCUGAAAGAAGAGGAAGAGUAAAGUCAGUGAGGGACAGAGCUCUUUUUAAAUUUGGUUUGCAUUAUUAACAUUUUGUUAAAAUCCAAAUAAUCAAUAAAACAAUAAAUCCAGCCCUCUUAUGUAGCUUU